AAAGGAAGAUAAUACUUUAAUAAACUUAAAAAUCUUUGGUAUUCAGUCCUUUGAUGACCCAAAAGGAAAACAAAUGUAUCAAGUGUGGCAUGUCACUGAUGGUGAUAUUUGUCACUUUUCCUCUAGUAAUCUUGUACCAUUUGUUAUGUUUGUGGUUUACAACUUAGAUAAAAACAGACCAUCAUCCUGAAACACAGGAUGUAUAAAUCUCAAAAUACAUGCAAAUUUGCUUCCAUACUAUCAGAUUAUUUCUCUUAUUAACAACUAGUCUGAUUACAAAAGCUCUGCGUGCUCAUGCUUAUAAAUCACAUUAUCAGCUUCAUUUAACUUCAGUUGAAUUCAUGCCCUAACAAGUAUCUAUCAAGAUAAUAUGAAUGACAUCACAUAUUUGGCCAUAAGGUGUUUUACAAGUCAAACCUGGCUAGACAGUGUUUAUUCCUCAGACUCUUCCGUAAUUACAGAUAUUGCUUAAGUAUCAGGUGUGUGUGCUGGUGCUCUGAAACGCUCCAUGUAAACAUACCUUGGAAAACUGACUUACCACCUGUGGGGAAGAUGAUAUCAUACUUCCUAGGUGGUAUUACCAUAAACCCUCAGUUCACAUUUGCUUGUAAUAUGAGACAUGGGAAACACAUGCUGCAUGUAGCAAGAAGAAAAAAAAAUGACACAUCUCACUUUUUAAUCAUUUCAACGUUCCACAGCAUAGCCAAGUAUUUUGUGAUGUUUUUUUAGUGCAACGUUCUUUGCUAAUGAUUCUAGACUUCAUUCUCACUCACAAACUUUCCAAGCUGGUGCCCUCAUUGCAGUAAGCCUUUCAUGCUAGAAGACAUCAGCUUAGUCAUAGAAGAAAAUUUUAGUGAAAAUUAAGGAAUCAGCCACAUAUAGCAUGGAAAAACUGGUCUGCUGUCACAGAGGUUUAGCCUGAAUCCUUGCAACUGCCCCGAAGAAGGUCCAAGUCAGAAGAAAUGCUACUGCAUAUGAUAAGCCAGAAAGGUGUGAGGAACACAUGAAGAAUCUUAUUAGAAUACAGAAAUACCUUGUACCAAAUCCAACAACAAUCCCACAUUUCAUGUGGUUAACAGGGAAAGUAUCUGAUAAUUGGGUGCAGUAAUUGAGUCUUCCACAUCUGCCAUAAGCAGAGGUGUUUACAUGGACGUGGAGCUACUGCACUUGCAGCAACUUCAGAGAGGGAAUUUAUGCUAGUAGGCAUUUAUUUCUUUAGAAAGACUCAUUAGAGUCUUUCACAUCUGCCCAGUUUACAAAACUGCCCUCUUCCUACUUUCUGUCCCAAGCAGCACAGCUAUUUUGAAUGCCACUGAAAUACCAGAGACAUUUUCUGAAGAGCUGGAAUGGACGUUACUGAAGGAAAGAAAUGAAAGAUAAUUUUGAUUAAGAAGACGAUCCUACUGUAUACUCUACCCAAAUAAACAGUGCUGUAUUUUUUCAAGCAUCAAAAUAGAUGACAAUGAGAAGUCAGAAAUGAAUGAAGUGCUUUCCAAGAAGAUGAUAAAAAUAGCUUCUGCUAAAGUAGAAUAACUGCUCCUGGGGACACAUAAAUCCCUGCGCCAUUCCCAUGGAAACAGGGAACAUUUUUAAUUAUCACAACAUUGUUAUGACAAUGAAACUAAUAAAAGCAAUGUAAAUCAAAGGGUGCUACACAUCCACAUAUUUAACUACUAUAAUUUCUUCACACUUCAUGUAUUCAACGUUUUUCAUUACUUCACAAAAUCUUGCUUCAGGACAUCUAAUACUGAAAUAAACUCCUUCCUGCUCAGAAAAGAGAGGCACAAGCUAAUACAAAUAGCAAUCCUGGAGUGAUGUGUCACAAGAUUUAUCUUAAAAAAUAAAAUAUUUUUGUUCUACUCACUUUCACUUUUUUUUGAGUACUCAGUCCUGUUUUAGAGAAAAAGCAACACAGGGGAAUAGCAAGGUACCUGGAAAAAAUGAACAAGAAUCACUUUAAUUCGCAAGGAGAUUUGUGGGCUCUAUCUAAAAAAAAUUAAGGGGAGACACCAUGUCAGUCUUCAAAUGUAUUCAAGACUGCAGACAGAAGAACAUAUUCACUGGAUCUUCAAUGAAUAAAAAGUGAUCUGUCUCAACUGUGAGAAGGAAAUCUGAAGCAUGACAUUUGGCAAAGGGCAACAAAGCCCCAGAUGUACAGUCAAAGGACAGACUGGGAUCUCCAGGGGGAAGGGUUUUCAGGAAAGCAUACAUCUGUUGGAAGCAUUACAAGCAUAUUUGGUCCAGGUUUGGUAGCAACAGGGUGGUCUGUGUUAUCCUUGGAUAUUCUCCUCAACCCUCCAUGGCUCCAGAUCUGUAAUUCUUGUUCUUGGCAAUUUCCAGCUGUAUUUUGCCGUCUCUUGACCUCCUAGGCUGCUUGCUCCACCCUGUAUACGAGGACACAAAGCCAAGGAACAAGGGGUCCCAGUGGGGAGCUCUGUGUCCUCUGGAUGCUCACGCAUGCAUCGCUGGUACAGGGAGCCAUGCAUCUGCAGCCAAGGUGUGUCUCCAGGUCUCAGCAGGUGAACCAUGCAGGGGUUUCCUCUCCCAUGAGCCAGGCAUGACCACAUCCACAGCAGAGUUGGAGUUGUUUCUGCCAGAUGACAACCUGACAGGUGUAAUAGAACACGCCCUUCCUGACCACACGUGGAGUUGACUAUGUUUUGCUACAAUUAUUUUCCUACCAUGUUUGCUGUUUUAAAUCUGUGUUUUGUUGACAGAUUCCCCAAAAGAGUUUAUAAGAGGUGCCAAGAAAAUGUUUCAAGUAGGGUGAGCCAGUAUCGUCAGCCAAGCCUCAGCACUUGGCAUUAAGAUGGAAGUAAGUGUGGUGCCUAGCUCAUAUUAAUACAGAUCUGACUUAUCAAAACAAGGUUUGGUAAUAAGCAGAAGUAGGUGCAUGUAUUUAUUCCUCCUUGUAUAGAAGAUGUUGGGAUUUUGCCUCACAUUUUCUUAGUAAGAUGAAAAACCUGUCAAAUGUUAUCCAUCCAUGGAAACACUUAGCAAAUUAUGCCAGAAUGUAAGAAGAUACUAGGUAGAGAAGGUAAUGCCAGACAGAAGUAUGAAAAAGGAACAUGUAUGAAAAAGGAACAUGUAGAUAAAAUUCAGGAACAGAAGUAAUUAAAUCUGAUUUUAUUACUAAGCAAGUAAAAAAUGUCAGGGAUGGCUUCUGGAAAGCCCCUAAUCAUGUGGUUUCAUUGUUUUGCUCUCUAAAAUGGAAUUUUAAUAAUUACCCACCUCACAAGUGUGCUCUAGUGCUGUGCUUAGGAAUGAUUACGAAAGGAUCUGUGAUUAGCUGACAAAAAAAUGAUGUUCACAUCAUUUAUCGCUAUGAUCUGUGCACAUUUAUGCAAAUAAAUCUGUGUCCCUAGGUGAUUUAUUUCAGAUGUUGGCUGGAAUUUAAAUGUAAUAACUCUUUACACUUAAAUUGUUUUUCUAUAGUUAGUACAAUGGAUUGACAGAGUUUCUUAUACUUAUUACAAACUGGUUUGCUGUAUAAUCUGGACAGUUGCCUAAUCUUAAAUCAAGAUCAAAUAGGGAAGAGCCUAGUAUAAAUUCAUCCUCUAAUAUGUAACAAGGAUGCUGCAGAGCAAAAUAUAUUGUGAAGGGGUACGUUAAAAUCAUAGGAAACAACUCUUUUUUAUAUGCCCACUAUUGGUUUAAUAAACAGAAACCAUGUACUUACCUAUUGAAAUAAUGAUUUUAGCUGACCUUGAUGGAACAGGUCAUUAUUGGAGGAAUUACGCUCCAUAGAGAACAAAGUCAGGCAACAAAUCAGUAAUACAACUCCACAAGCCAAGCUUGCUUGGAAUGUCUAAAAUACUUGGGCUAUGUAAAACUGCCAUGAAUUUGCUCUGUCAGCUCAGAUUAGUCUAGAUUAUUCUAAAGAUACAUGAUCACCUGUGCAGAGAUAAUGCCAGAUUGGAUAGGAUUUAUUUUCAUAUGGUUCUUAUGAGUAUCUCAUCUCUCACACAUCUGGCAUAAAGUGUAAACACUAUGAUAGGACAAGUUUAUUGUGCCUGAUGAUCUGAUAGCACAUUGAGGUGGCACUACUGUGCACCCAUGGAUCCUACAGCACAGCAUGCCUAGGAGAUGGCUGGCCAGAGACGAGAGUGCAUGCUGUGCUACUUUGGCUUCCAACAACUAAGAGCUUGAAGGAGAGUUAAACUAAGGGGUUGCAAUUGUUAAUGUUACCAGAAAGGAGGACUGCUCAUCAGUAUGAACAUUAAAAAUCAUAGUAAAAUCAUCUAACAAGACUGUCAGCUAAUGGUAUUAAAAAAGCACUCAGAUAUGAGUGACAUUACCAGGACAAAGAAGAGUCAGCUUCAGAACCCUGCAAGAGAAAAGGUGUAUGGGCUAGCACAGAGCAGGCAGCUCCCCGGCUGCUUCCACCUGCAGUGUUUGGUAAAAGGGUAUAACAGUGCACUUAAGUGCACCAGGACCACCAUCAUCCUUGCUCUGCAAAGAUACCACAGGCCAAACAAUCCUGAAAUGAGACACAGUUAAACUCAUCCACACCAAUCAAAACAAGAUAGAACCAUGUACCUGACAACAACAUCAGAGAAACAUUUUUCUAACUUGGCAAAACCUCCAAAGGGGAGGUUUUGUCUCCAGUGCUGUCUUGGUACCAAGUUCUUCUUACGUUUAAAUCUUGUGUGGUGGUCAUGUAAGUUCUGGCUGGACAUCCAUAAGAGCUAGAAAAAACAGCUUAGGCCCUUGUUACUUUUUAAGAUAUUCACCUAACUACUGAGGUCUUUAUCAGCCUAAGCAAGGCAAAGGGUUUCCAUCACUUUAACUUUGCUACAGGUGUCUCUUCAAUAUAGUACUUUCAUUAAUUAAAUUUGACAAAGUUUUCUGAUGCUUAUGCAGAGGCUGCCUUCUCAGGCAAGGCUGCCAUUCAGGAACAUGAGUAGUGAAACUACUGACUAUCAGAUAGGCAUCAUGAACCAGUGUCAUUUGUAUCUCUGCACUGCUACUACUUCAUCUUGUUGGUGUCCAGCCUUCUCUCCAGCAUACCUGAAUCACUUGGAAUAUUAAGCUUGUUUCUUAUGUUUGCAGCUUGCUGAAGCCUUCCUCUCUAAGUUGAAUCAAUGUGAAAAUAAUGACUUAAAUCAACUGGGCUAUCAUUUAUCUUGAUUGGAAUAACUUUAAAGAAAAUGUUAUGCUGCUUAAGUCAGCAGGAUAAUUUAGAAAAUGUGGAGUUUGUUAAGAUUUUUCAAAACAAUGCAAAAAUAUUUAAUAUAAGAUCAGCAUAUUGGCAUAAUCACUUUUUCCACAAGCAGUAUAUAAACAGUGAUGCUGCAACCAGUCCUUAGUCACACCUACUGAACUAUUUGUACAUCCUUCCUCUUUCUCUACUGGCCUAUGCACUUUUUUUGGGAGUGGCUUCCCAUUUACCUCCACAGCAAUAAAUGCCAUGCAGGAAGAACUCUGGCCACUUUGGAAAAUGCAGCAGAUUGUUACUGCUAUCCUAUUUCACUCUUGUAUUGUUUCAAACUUAGCAUCCAUUUUUGUGAUCCCUAUAGAACUGAAGAUGACAGUAACUGGUUUGUCCUAAUCUGAUGUCAGGUUUCCUAUCUGGGAAUUUAGAAUUUUCUGAAGACAGAAGAUGUAAUUCAUGCCUGAGCAGCCACAGCUUUGCAACCUGAUCAAAUGCAAAUGCUGAGUAUUAGAUAGCUAUCCGGAACUUAUCUCAAUCACUCUACUUUCAUCUACUUUUUAUCUUCAGUAGGACUUCCUCUUGCAUGUACAAGUGAAAUGUAGGCCUGCUGCUUCUUUACUUCUUCAUACCUGCCUCCUCACACUUCUCUUUCAAUAACAUAACCCAGGAUUACUUUAAGGAAGGAAAAGGAAAAUUUUUUACUAUUCUUGUCACAUGCUCUUUCACAGCCUGUAUGCUGGUGGGCUUUCUUGCCCAGGGGGAAGGGAAAGGUCAAGGCACAGAAAUAUCCAAGUCUUCUUCAGAUUUCACUCCAGGAUACAGUUUAUUAGCUAAACAUCAAAUUCAUAAAGUAACACAAAGUAAAGCUAUUCCCUAAUCCAAAGCCAGCUGCAGGGGCUCCCAGGCUUUCCAUGCCAGAAAAAGGGUACACAUCUUCAUCUAACCCCCUGAUGAAUCAAGUGACAAGCAAGCCUGUAACCCUUUCCUGACUGUUUAACCCUGUCACAAGAGUUGGUUGUUGUGAAUGCUUUAUUCCAGGACUGGAGUAGGCAGUUUCACACUCUUUCGAAUUUCUAGGUGCAAAAAACUUCAAGGUUGGUUUGGAUUUUUAUUUUGGUGGUUUUUUGAGGGUGUUUUCUUUGGGGGAGUGGGGGUGGUUUUGGUUUUUCUGGUUUUUUUUGUGCAUCAGUGCUUACAGCAACAUUUGGUAAUUUCGCUACAUUUAUUAAUAAACAGGUUGUGGACAGAAAUGUUUUGGGGUUUUUUGUUUUGUUGGGUUUUGCUUGGGUUUUUUAAAUUAAAACCUUUGGUUCUCAGAAGAAGCCUGUAGAGACAUUACAUGUUUAUAAAUAUGCUGACCACAUAAAGACCAACUGUGUGUUUAAGAGUUCACAGAUUUUGGGAAGUUGCUGUUAGAUGUGAAUUUUCUACACUUAUAUUAAGUAUCAAGACAAAUGGGGAAGAAUUAAAAUGCAGAAAUGCAAAACUUACAGAUUUUGGAUUCUUAGAACUGAAAGCCGGGGUAAAUGGUAAACUAACAAGGAAAAAAAAAGAGUUUUUAAAAUGAAACAAAUUCCUCAAGAGGGCAGCUAAGGAGGGUUGCAAACAAGAAGCUAAAAAAAACCCCAGAAAACAAAGGAGAAGAGGGAAAAUCAAAUGGAUUUAUUUUGAAAGGUGAUUCAGAUAAAUGCCUUUUGCAAAUGGACCAUGGUUGCCUGAUGAUUGUGGGCUUGUGAAGGUGGAAGGCAGAGUUGUAUUGCUUGACUUAAAAACAUGAUUAAAGAUUUCAGUGUAUAAAUUGUUGUCCUAAAAAUGUAAACAACCUUUUCCUGGAUGCUGACUGUACAAGGUCUGUCUUAAGCUAGAGAACAGGAGAACAGAUAUUGGGCAGAUCCACACACAAUGAUCACUCCCAAUUUCAGGGAAAAUCUGAGGCAAAAAAGAUUAAAUGUACUUAUGUUCAGAAAUGAAAAUUUACAUAGAGGUCUUGUAACAAUAGGUCCAUCUUUAACAAAUAUUUUAUGUUUAUAAAAUGUUUAACAAACAAUUUAUGAUGCCUUCAUUUGUAAGAGUAGCACUUGACUUUCUGUACCUUUUCCUGCUGUUUCUGAGAGAAGUGUGAGUAGAAGAUCUGUCCCUUAAAUCCCAUAAAGCUUAAUUUAACUCAUGUUGUUCUCAGCUCCCUGGAGAUAAUAGGUGGAGCUGAGAAUGAACGGAAACCUUUCCCUUCCCUGAACCUCCAAACAAAAUGUGUAAUUAAUUCCUAUGGUGCAGCCUUUAAUACUAGGUUAAAACACAUAGCAGCAAUAAAACCACUGAAAAUUAAGACCUCAAGGUUAAUUUGCCUGGCAGAUAAGGACACUUCCUUUCUACUUGAAGACCUAACUAACUUGAUGUGAAAUCACUGAAAACAAAUUUUUAGUGAACAUCACUAGGCUUUCCCUGUGAGCAAGCAAGUCAGUGAGCGAGCUGAGCACUGGACCCCACAUCUCCUUGAUGUAACUAUGUGUCUUCUGCUGUAACUAUGUGAUCCAUGAGGGAUGGAUAUUCUUUAUAUCUUGCUGAGGGAGUUUAGGUCAAAUGAAACCUCUCCAAGCUGUGUGGGGGCUGAGUCCCAUUCAACAAAAUGUGGAUCCCCUCUCUAUCCAGGCCCUCACACCUCAGUGGAGGUACAUCCCCACACACUCUGCCCUAACUCUGCUGACAUAAAUUAUCACAUUUGUAGCUUCCUGCUCCAUUUCCAAUCUUUUGCCUGCUGUGCAAGAGUAUGUACAAACAGGCAGGUGUAAAUAUUCUACCUGCCUUUUUGGCCUAAUUUUCAUGAAGCAUUCAUGAUCAGUUGCAGGUGCAGCUGCCAACAAACUACAGCCUGGAUAACGCGAUCUUGGUCUUCUCCAUGCAAAAUUGCAAUACAGGCCUUUACAUAAAUGGUGGAUUAAUUAGGAACCAAAUCAGGUUCUGUCACUUUAAAACUUUCCUCCACCCUCCAUCACCUCCAUCCAUCAGUUGCCUGCAGCAUGUAUAUUGAGGAAUCGCGUGCAAACCUUACCAUAACCCAAGGCUUAACAUAAACUAUGCUCUUUCAGGUCAUUGGCAAAUAACAGGUAUAUCCGGUUGUGCCUUUGUACUUGCCUGCACGCAAAUUAAAAGCGCAUGUAAAGUUACAAUAAUCAAAGUCAGUCAGGGGGAAGGGGAGGAGAGCAGGGGGAUAAUAACCCGGGGAUCAGGUUAUUUAUCUUCACAGGGAAGCCACUGAGAGAAGCCUCCUUGCAUGCCAUUUACACCUCAAAAGAAAGAUAGGGGCAAAUUUGGCUCUUGGCCAAAGCCAUCCCCUACAGCACCCUACACGGUGCCUAAUCCUGUCUUUUCCCUGCAGCUGGUAAAGACGCUGUUAUCUCCACUGCUGCUACUUCUUCCCCAUGGUGCUGCACAGCAUUUUAAGCUUCCUCCUUGGCUGCAGAGUGAGUGUUUCUGUGGGAGACAACAACAGCCAGGAUGGACUUUAGGCUUUCUUCAUUGGAAGAAUUUUCUUCUCAUGGUCUCAGAUACUGCCACUGUCACCUCCAGUGCAUUGCUGCUUCUGCAGCUGCUUCCACCCUUAUUCUCUGAGAGAGCCAGACUCUUCCUGCAGGGUGACCCCACAUCUGCCCAGCCAUCCCAGGGCAGGCACAGGCUCCCACACUGCUCUCCCUUCUAGAGGAAGCCAUCAAGCCAUUGUGCAGCUACCCUGAGCCUGGGUGUGGGUUGCUUGGGAAAGGGAAGAAUUUAUGGCAAUUUUUUUUUCAUUUUUCUCCUUUGGUGUGCCAUGAGAGUAACAGACAUUAGCAAAUGCCUCUUCUUGGAGUAUUGUGACAAGAUGAAAUCUGCCCUGACUGGCACCUGCAGUCUGUCUCCCUAAUGGUUUAUAUCUGCCAUUGCUGAAGGUUAGAAGACCUGAAUGGCUCAGAAACAGACAUUGGGUUUGCUUCCAAAUGCUAGAAGCAUGUAAGUGUCAAGACCGCUUUUUCUCCUUGAAAAAUUUACUGAGGGACAGAGGAAAUAUUUUUUAUUAAUAUUAUUAUUAUUAUUGUUACUUGUCUUAAAGAAGAAGUCAACCAUCUUGAUCAAGAUUGUAGUCCUUACAUAGAAUACAUUAAAAUUCUCCUAAACUCAGUUUUCCAUCACUGACCACAGAUACCACAAAGGGAGUUU
ensembl:lncRNA